GAUGAACGCUGGCGGCGUGCCUAAUACAUGCAAGUCGAGCGAACAGAUGAGGAGCUUGCUCCUCUGACGUUAGCGGCGGACGGGUGAGUAACACGUGGAUAACCUACCUAUAAGACUGGGAUAACUUCGGGAAACCGGAGCUAAUACCGGAUAAUAUAUUGAACCGCAUGGUUCAAUAGUGAAAGACGGUUUUGCUGUCACUUAUAGAUGGAUCCGCGCCGCAUUAGCUAGUUGGUAAGGUAACGGCUUACCAAGGCAACGAUGCGUAGCCGACCUGAGAGGGUGAUCGGCCACACUGGAACUGAGACACGGUCCAGACUCCUACGGGAGGCAGCAGUAGGGAAUCUUCCGCAAUGGGCGAAAGCCUGACGGAGCAACGCCGCGUGAGUGAUGAAGGUCUUCGGAUCGUAAAACUCUGCUAUUAGGGAAGAACAAAUGUGUAAGUAACUAUGCACGUCUUGACGGUACCUAAUCAGAAAGCCACGGCUAACUACGUG
rnacentral:rRNA from 1 species